AUCCCGAUUUAUCAGGACAACUGGCACCUUUGGUAGCUGCUGUCAUGACUGCUGAGAAGAAGAAAAAAAGAAAAAUAAAACAAACAGAAAUCUCGUACGAAUUUUUGAUGCUGUUAUCAAAAAUUCGUGCGAAACUGCUGUUGAUCUCCCGCAAUGGACCAGGAAGCCGGCGCACCGAGGGCUGGACUCUGCAACUUAGGUAAAGAGAUGCAUAAUAUUUCAGUGUCGCCGAAUGAAGCAUUUAUCUAUGCAGCCCGAGUUCCCCGACCGUGGGGACUACCUCGCUUGUAUAACUAUGGCUCUGCAGUGUGGAUUUCGGAACAAAUUGGCCAAUGUCUCAGCCCACUUCAUACACGCAUUGAAUAAUGGAUGAAGCUGAAUCAAAGAAUUAAAAAGGUUUCUGAAUGGAUUGAACGUAAGUUAAAAUAUAAAAAUAAAAUUUA